rnacentral:rRNA from 1 species
UACGUAGGUGGCAAGCGUUGUCCGGAUUUAUUGGGUUUAAAGGGUGCGUAGGCGGCCCUGUAAGUCAGUGCUGAAAUAUCCCGGCUUAACCGGGAGGGUGGCAUUGAUACUGCGGGGCUAGAGUACAGAUGAGGUAGGCGGAAUUGACGGUGUAGCGGUGAAAUGCGCAGAUAUCAGGAGGAACACCAAUGGCGAAGGCAGCUCGCUGGGACGUGACUGACGCUGAGACGCGAAAGCGUGGGGAGCAAACAGG